CUUCUCUUUCUCUCUCAUUCUCUUCUUUGCAAAUCCUCCAUUCUUGUCUAGGGAGCUUUCGCUCAGGCAAAAUCACAGACCAGGAAGUGAAGAUACAAAAAGCAUGAAAGAAGACAAAAUCAAGUUAUAAGCCUUGAGAUGGAACGUGAACAUCGUGGAUGAAUAUACGAUAGGAAUCAUCCUAAUUGUUGUGGAUUGAAGGAAGAAUUUAUUGAAGGUGUUCAAGGAUUUAUUGCUCAUGCAAAAAUACUCCCUAAAUUUCGUAAUGAAGGAACACUUAGGUGUUCUUGUGUGGAAUGCAAGUGUAUAAAGUUGUUUGAAACCGAAAAAUGUUAAAGUUCAUCUUUAUAGCAAGGGGUUUAGAAAAUAUUAUUAUGCGUGGACUGUUCACGGAGAGAACUAUUGUAG